rnacentral:rRNA from 1 species
CCAAUAGCGUAUAUUAAAGUUGUUGCAGUUAAAAAGCUCGUAGUUGAAUUUCGGGAUUGACACAUCGGUCGUGCCCUAAGGGGUAUGAACUGGUGUAGUCAAUUUCUCACCUUCUGGAGAACCGCGCUGUCCUUAAUUGGGUGACGUGGGGAACCAGGACCUUUACUUUGAAAAAAUUAGAGUGUUUAAAGCAGGCAUUUUGCUUGAAUACAUUAGCAUG